UGCUGAUAAACACAGCGACCACGUGGCGCGCGAGCUCCUCUCGAGACUGCUCGUUUAAAAUCUUUCACACACACGGAAAAUUAUAUGCAAAUCAAAUAAAACUCAAGACAGAGAACCAUCAAGAUGUUUUGGUGCCAUGCCCGAUGUGGAGUGUUGUGACUGAGAUAGAAAUCAAGAGACUUCACACGAGGAGGCAAAGUCUGGAGUCAACUUGUAACUUAAGAAAUGUCGAUGCAGCCUAUCUUCCAGCCCCAGCCUGCUGAUGUUUUGGAGAUGACAUACACUACAAAAGCCCCAUGAUCUGUGGUAUUGUCUAGUUGGCCAAUUACUAUUCCCAUCUCUGAUUAACUUUGAUGUGGAACCUAAUGAGAUAAGGCCGCUUAUCAAGGCGGCUGCUGAUAGUGGUCUCAUUUAUUCCUGUGCCUGGCACCCAAGCAAGUGACAAAAAACUAAUGAGGAGGAGUUUGUAUGUAGGCUCAGGUCUAAGGGAAGUGAGAAUCGCUCAUCUGCAGUUCAUCAGCCCAUAUCUGAGAUGGCCUCGGCACUGUCACUGACUGGGUAGCACCAAGACACUCCACAUAACAGCACACAGGCUCGCUGGAAAACAAGAGCCACCAAGUUUGGAGGAGAUAAGAAGCAACCCCCCCCUCCAACACACACACACACACACCCACCCUUCUCUCUAGCAUCUUUCUUUUAACAGCUCCUCUCUUCUCCACUGCUUUAAUGGUGAUGCUAAUUGCUUGGGUUGUUUAGGUGUGAGGAACGUAGGAGUGUGUGUAUGAAGCUCUUUAUGUUACACCUCUGGCAUAUGUGUGUGUGUGUCUGCAUCUUCUCUCUUUUGUUUGUGUGUGUGUUUAAUUUUUUCACAGAACACAGAGAAAAUAGCUCUACCCCCUCCCCACCCCCCCACCCCCUAUAAAAACAGUUUAAGAAUAUUUUCUGUUGUCAGUCAGAUCUCUGUAUUUUUAAAUGCUUUAAGGAUUAAUCUUCAUAAAUACAUGUUUGAGAUUUCAGUGAGAAAUUACAA